rnacentral:rRNA from 1 species
GAUCAUGGCUCAGGAUGAACGCUAGCUACAGGCUUAACACAUGCAAGUCGAGGGGCAGCAUGGUCUUAGCUUGCUAAGGCUGAUGGCGACCGGCGCACGGGUGAGUAACACGUAUCCAACCUGCCGUCUACUCUUGGCCAGCCUUCUGAAAGGAAGAUUAAUCCAGGAUGGGAUCAUGAGUUCACAUGUCCGCAUGAUUAAAGGUAAGUUUUACGUUCGUACGA